CAGACCUCGCAUAUCAGAAAUUUCAGUGGAAGAACUUGAUGCUAAUGAAAAACAAACUUUUCUGAAUUGGCGCCGGAUGUUUGUGAGAGGAAAAUGAAAAGCUUGUGUUGACUCCUUUCGAAAAGAACCUCGACAUCUGGAGACAGUUUUGGCGAGUGCUUGAACGUAGUGAUUUGAUUGUUAUGGUAGUUGAUGCUAGGGAUGUGUUAGUUCCUGCACUGUAAAAACGAGACAUCAUAGCUCGUGCAAAGACAGGAACCGCAAAGACAGUAACUGGAUAUACUACUCUCGAUGUCAAAGCUGAGAGGGCAGAAGAUGUUCUCACACAUCAGAGAUACAUGCUAAGGCCAAGAAGGAAAUGGGAGCUCAAGGUUUUGAUUUAGUUCCCUUGUUUUCUCUAGUCCUUUUUAUAUUUAGCUCUGAUGUUUGUGUAAGAUUUGAUGAAAAUGUAGACAUGUUUGUGGUAAUGAUAUAAGUAAAUUUUGGUUUUAUCAAUGAAAUAUAAAUUGAAUAUU